ensembl:ncRNA lncRNA:CR44605 long non-coding RNA:CR44605
AAGAUUGUGGUCGACACGCAAUUGCGGCAAUUCGAAGUUGGAUGCGCUCCGCGGGGCCAGCGAACCGAGGCAAAAGCCAAGCUAAACGCUUAGAAGCCCCUCUCCACCAGUUGCUCCUCUUGCUACCCCAGGAACUCACAUCCGCCGCAGUAUGGAGGCAAGUUUCUUGCGGCAGCGACAACUGGCAACCUGCCACUUGUGACUGGCAAGCAGCAACUUUGGAGCACUGAGAAAACUAGAGAUAGACUA